ACAGUGGAGAGUUUGAUCCUGGCUCAGGAUGAACGCUGGCUACAGGCUUAACACAUGCAAGUCGAGGGGAAACGGCAUUGGGUGCUUGCACCGAAUGGACGUCGACCGGCGCACGGGUGAGUAACGCGUAUCCAACCUUCCCGUUACUGCGGGAUAACCUGCCGAAAGGCAGACUAAUACCGCAUGUUCUUCGAUGACGGCAUCAGAUUCGAAGCAAAGAUCCGUCGGUAACGGAGGGGGAUGCGUCUGAUUAGCUAGUUGGCGGGGCGACGGCCCACCAAGGCGACGAUCAGUAGGGGUUCUGAGAGGAAGGUCCCCCACAUUGGAACUGAGACACGGUCCAAACUCCUACGGGAGGCAGCAGUGAGGAAUAUUGGUCAAUGGGCGGAAGCCUGAACCAGCCAAGUAGCGUGCAGGAUGACGGCCCUACGGGUUGUAAACUGCUUUUAUGCGGGGAUAAAGUGAGGGACGCGUCCCUUUUUGCAGGUACCGCAUGAAUAAGGACCGGCUAAUUCCGUGCCAGCAGCCGCGGUAAUACGG
rnacentral:rRNA from 1 species